rnacentral:rRNA from 2 species
UGGGGAAUCUUCCGCAAUGGGCGCAAGCCUGACGGAGCAACGCCGCGUGAGUGAAGAAGGCCUUCGGGUUGUAAAGCUCUGUCUUCAGGGAAGAAAGAAAUGACGGUACCUGAGGAGGAAGCCACGGCUAACUACGUGCCAGCAGCCGCGGUAAUACGUAGGUGGCAAGCGUUGUCCGGAAUUACUGGGCGUAAAGGGCGCGUAGGCGGGUCCUUAAGUCCGAUGUGAAAUCUCUGGGCUCAACCCAGAGUUUGCAUUAGAAACUGAGGAUCUUGAGUGCAGGAGAGGGCAGUGGAAUUCCUAGUGUAGCGGUGAAAUGCGUAGAUAUUAGGAGGAACACCAGUGGCGAAGGCGACUGCCUGGACUGUAACUGACGCUGAGGCGCGAAAGCGUGGGGAGCAAACAGG